rnacentral:rRNA from 1 species
UACGUAGGGGGCAAGCGUUGUCCGGAAUCAUUGGGCGUAAAGAGCUCGUAGGCGGCUUGUCACGUCUGCUGUGAAAUCCCGGGGCUCAACCCCGGGCGUGCAGUGGAUACGGGCUGGCUAGAGGCAGGCAGGGGAGAACGGAAUUCCCGGUGUAGCGGUGAAAUGCGCAGAUAUCGGGAGGAACACCGGUGGCGAAGGCGGUUCUCUGGGCCUGUACUGACGCUGAGGAGCGAAAGCGUGGGGAGCGAACAGG